GCAGUGCAUGCCGGUCUUGUGCUUUGAGUCGCCAUUUUGCCGCUAGGGAUGCUGUCUGAAGACCAGUGCUCUCUUCCUUCAGCGGCCUAGGCUGCGUCAGGGCCUGAGCUCAGUGCAUGAAAGUUCUCAAAUGUUCUGACCUGGACCUGGAACGCAGCUCCCCAAGCAGCAGACAUGUAGUUCUUGAACAGACUGCCCAGAACAUGGUCUGAGGGCCCCCAUUGUCCACUCCAAUCUUUAUUGGACCUUUGAAUGGAAUCACAGGAGGAGGCAGUGUAUGUGUAGCUGCCCAAAGUCAAGUGUCACUGUUGUCUGCUGUCACCCAAAAGCAUCAUCACCCUGCUAUUUGUAUGUCUCUGGGUCCUUCAAGAGUGGAGAGUACCUGGAAAGGAGAUGGCCCAAGGCUCACCCGUGCAAAACAUGCCUCUGUAUCAGUGACUGACCCUCAGCCAUGGACAAUUUGCCAUUCUCAAGAUUUCCUUUGUUGAACAAACCCUGAAGUCCACAGAGUGACUCUCCGAUCUCCUUUCUGAUGAACAGAACUGCAUCCACCAAGUGUUGGUCACUGAGUGGGAUAGAAGUUCAUCCAUCAGAAUUAUCACAGCCUCUACACCAGAUCUUCAUGGGGCCAAGGCCACAGCUAACCCCUUGGCAUGGAGCACCCAUUUCAUCCUCAGUGACCCUAAGCUCUCAAUCCACUCAGUCCCGACCCAUUUGGCACUGUAAACUAGGGUUGAGUGAGGCCCUUGCAUAGGGCCAGGACCUGAAUCCACAGGUGACCAAUUCCCACUGGGCUGCUAAGCCCAGAGGCUCCUGCAAAAGGACCUGAAGUUCAUGGAAAAAUCCCAUGAGACAAGUGCCAGAGAAUUGUACAGAGUGGACUGACAUUUGAGGAAAAUAUCAGCGGUAUUUUGACAGAAAUGCUUUGAAAAGGCUGGCUGGUCUGGGUAGCAUGUACAUUAUAACAACAUGAAUUCUUCCCAUCUGCCAUCAUGGCUUCAUAAACUGACCUGUCUGCAGUGUCACCACCUCCUGACCUGCUCCCUGUCAACACCUGUCCUGCUCCACAGCUGUGGUGCAUCCACAUGUGGAAGUUGAGAUCUGCACCUGGAUGGAAUACAUUCAGUCAGUAUUGGCUGUGUAACAGACUGACUUUUUCAUAUAGUGCUUCCCUGAGUGAGACAGGGGGCCUCAGGCCUACAGGGAAGAGCUCUGGCAGUAGGGGCAUUCCAGCCUUCUUUUGUCCAGUGUGCAGUGUAUGCUGCUUUGCUGAGAAGCUGACUUGAGGGUCAGGAGGCCUGGACCUCAGGCCUGGUGCCAAGGUGUUCUCUACCACUGCCUGGCCCACUUUCCCCUGACAUAAGAUUUCCACAGAGAUCUGAGCAUCCCUGGACUUCCUCUUCCAGGCUGCAACUCAAUGUGGAGACUUCAGGUUUGAAAUCUGUGACUAUGACAGUCAACAUGUAUACAUUUAACCUGGAAAAUGUACUGCUAAGUCUUCAUUAUAAAAAGUGAGAAUGAAAGACACCCGUAUUCUUUUGUAUUCAGGUAAGGUGUGAAAAAUUAGAAACCAUGAACAUAGCACACAGCAAAACUGCUGAGUGAAUUAUAAACUUACAGGCACAGAAAAUGCUGAAAGAAGGCCAUGUUCUAGGCCAUGUCCCCAGUCUUACUUGAGAUGACAGAAAGCUUAUGGCUUGGCCCUUUCUCCACCCAGCAGUGAAGAGACACAGGUGCUCACAGCAGGCACGGACAGGAGAGAGGAGCUGGUGUAUGGCAGACCUCUCAUCCUAAUGGCCCUGAUAGUACAUUGUGAUCCCCUCUCACACAGCUGAGCCCUGGCUCUCUUCCUACCCAGACUUGUACUCUGUGCUCCCCCCCCACACACACACCUUGGGAAGAGGUGGCAUCUCUGGUUUAAGUAAGUAGUCUCAGGGGACAUUUUUUUCAACUAAGGGUAAAUGCCAUUUCCACCUUUAUAUGGACCUUGAUCUGCUUCUCCCACCCUUCUUCUGUCUUCUGAGCCUGCUAAUGACAAGCCCAUGGAGGACUCUGCUACUGGAGAACUAUUUGUAUGCCAUUAAUACAUGCUCUCUUAUUACAAAUGACAGAUUUAGAAAAAGAGAAAAAAAUCUUGGUAUAUUUAUCUAUGUCACCAGGAUUGUGUUAGUUCCCUGUGCCACUUCCCUACCCAAAGAUGACAUUGUAUGAUAAAGGAAUCUGAGAGUAAAACAAAGAAGAGCAUUCACAUUUCCAGUCCUUUGCAGCUCCAUUCAUUAAGUGAUGCGCAAGUAUCCAAGGCUCUGCCUCACUCUGCCUCUGUCACUCUGUUUGUCUCACGCAUAUCUCUGUGUGUAUGCAUAUGAUGGCAGAGAUAUUUCAUUGUAAAAACUGAGAUCUUCCACACACAAAUCCAUCUUGCAUCAAUGGUAAUUUCAUGAUCAGAUUCCUUGGCCUCUUCCUCUGUGGGCCUAGAGAUACUGAGCUCAGCUUCCCUGAAGCUUUCCCUGCUUUCUCUGGCCUGCACUGGUGCCCUGCACUCUCUACCUGCAAGGUAGGGAGGGUCCUCGUUCCUUCCUGUUCUAAAAGUGCUGUGAACAACAAUCUUGAAAAGAAAGUUAAAAUGUUAUGCAUAUUUUUCUUUAUUUUUUUUUGUGUUGUUGUUGUGCAGCUCUCUGUGUGGGAGAAACCUCUAUGCUUAGUUCAGAGAGGUACAGGGACACUGUGUAGAGCUCUGAUGGGAGCUGAGGGAAAUGGUUCUGCUUCCCCCACCCCAUUUUCUCCCCACUGCUGUUCCCCACUUACCUUAAAACCUGAAGGCAAAUGGGGACACAACACAACUCAAUGACAUGGCCCUGAAUGUAUCUUCAGCGCAUUUUGUAAACUUGUUGGCCAUAUGAGCAGAUUUCCUUUUGC